GACGAACGCUGGCGGCGUGCUUAACACAUGCAAGUCGAACGGUGAAGCCCUUCGGGGUGGAUCAGUGGCGAACGGGUGAGUAACACGUGAGCAAUCUGCCCUUGACUCUGGGAUAACUUCGGGAAACCGGAGCUAAUACCGGAUAUGACGCACGGAGGCAUCUUCUGUGUGUGGAAAGAUUUAUCGGUCAAGGAUGAGCUCGCGGCCUAUCAGCUUGUUGGGGGGUAAUGGCCUACCAAGGCGACGACGGGUAGCCGGCCUGAGAGGGCGACCGGCCACACUGGGACUGAGACACGGCCCAGACUCCUACGGGAGGCAGCAGUGGGGAAUUUUGGACAAUGGGGAAACCCUGAUCCAGCCAUUCCGCGUGAGUGAAGAAGG
rnacentral:rRNA from 1 species